rnacentral:rRNA from 1 species
ACCAGCAGCCAUAUCAUGCUGCAACUCACAACUGGCAACCCACUGAAGCUAAGCAAGGUUGAGCCUGGUCAGUACCUGGAUGGGAGACAGUUAAGAAAGUUAAGGUUGCUGCUGGAA